AACGAACGCUGGCGGCGUGGAUAAGACAUGCAAGUCGAGCGAGAUUUUUUUCUGUAGCAAUACAGGAAGAAGUCUAGCGGCGAACGGGUGCUUAACACGUGGGCAAUCUGUCGUAAAGUGGGGGAUAGCUCGGCGAAAGCCGAAUUAAUACCGCAUGUGAUUAGAGUGGACAUCCAUUCAAAAUCAAAGUCGGGGCAACCUGACGCUUUUUGAGGAGCCCGCGGCCUAUCAGCUUGUUGGUGAGGUAACGGCCCACCAAGGCUUUGACGGGUAGCUGGUCUGAGAGGACGACCAGCCACACUGGGACUGAGACACGGCCCAGACACCUACGGGUGGCAGCAGUCGAGAAUUUUUCUCAAUGGGGGAAACCCUGAAGGAGCGACGCCGCGUGGAGGAUGAAGGUCUUCGGGUUGUAAACUCCUGUCAUUUGGGAACAAGGCGUAUGUAUUAACUGUACGUGCGUUGAUAGUACCAGAAGAGGAAGAGACGGCUAACUCUGUGCCAGCAGCCGCGGUAAUACAGAGGUCUCAAGCGUUGUUCGGAUUCAUUGGGCGUAAAGGGUGCGUAGGCGGCGCGGUAAGUCGGGUGUGAAAU
rnacentral:rRNA from 1 species